rnacentral:rRNA from 1 species
GAUGAACGCUGGCGGCGUGCCUAAUACAUGCAAGUCGAGCGGAGCGGGGACGGGUGAGUCAUACGUGGAUAACCUCCUAUAAGACUGGGAUAACUUCGGGAAACCGGAGCUAAAACGGUAUAUUUUAGCUUGCUCUGCGCUGCAUUAGCUAGUUGGUAAGGUAACGGCGUACCAAGGCAACGAUGCAUAGCCGACUUGUGAGGGUGAUCGGCCACACUGGGACUGAGACACGGUCCAGACGCCUACGGGAGGCAGCAGUAGGGAAUCUGGCGCAAUGGGCGAAAGCCUGACGGAGAAACGCCGCGUGAGUGAUGAAGGUAUUCGGAUCGUAAAACUCUGUUAUUAGGGAAGCGGUACCUAAACAGAAAGCCACGGCUAACUACGUGCCAGCAGCCGCGGUAAUUC